GGCUGGGUAGCUCAGCUGGUUAGAGCGCGCGACUCAUAAUCGCGAGGUCGGGAGUUCAAGUCUCCCCCCCGCCACCA
rnacentral:tRNA from 2 species